AGCAGCCGCGGUAAUUCCAGCUCCAAUAGCGUAUAUUAAAGUUGUUGCAGUUAAAAAGCUCGUAGUUGAAUUUCGGGAUUAAUAUGUUGGUCGUGCCUUGGUACGCACUGGCAUUAUUGAUUCCUACCUUCUGAAGAACCUCGAUGUCAUUAAUUUGGCGUCUUGGGGAAUCAGGACCGUUACUUUGAAAAAAUUGAGUGUUUAAAGCAGGCUCGCGCUUGAAUACAUUAGCAUGGAAUAAUGAAAUAGGACGUUUGAUUCUAUUUUGUUGGUUUCUAGGAUCGACGUAAUGAUUAAUAGGGAUAGUUGGGGGCAUUAGUAUUCAAUUGUCAGAGGUGAAAUUCUUGGAUUUAUGAAGACUAACUACUGCGAAAGCAUUUGCCAAGGAUGUUUUCAUUAAUCAAGAACGAAAGUU
rnacentral:rRNA from 1 species